rnacentral:rRNA from 1 species
GAUGAACGCUGGCGGCGUGCCUAAUACAUGCAAGUCGAGCGAACAGACGAGGGGCUUGCUCCUCUGAUGUUAGCGGCGGACGGGUGAGUAACACGUGGAUAACCUACCUAUAAGACUGGGAUAACUUCGGGAAACCGGAGCUAAUACCGGAUAACAUGUUGAACCGCAUGGUUCAACAGUGAAAGACGGUCUUGCUGUCACUUAUAGAUGGAUCCGCGCCGCAUUAGCUAGUUGGUAAGGUAACGGCUUACCAAGGCAACGAUGCGUAGCCGACCUGAGAGGGUGAUCGGCCACACUGGAACUGAGACACGGUCCAGACUCCUACGGGAGGCAGCAGUAGGGAAUCUUCCGCAAUGGGCGAAAGCCUGACGGAGCAACGCCGCGUGAGUGAAGAAGGUCUUCGGAUCGUAAAACUCUGUUAUUAGGGAAGAACAAAUGUGUAAGUAACUAUGCACGUCUUGACGGUACCUAAUCAGAAAGCCACGGCUAACUACGUG